UGGCGGUCUUAGCGCGGUGGUCCCACCUGACCCCAUGCCGAACUCAGAAGUGAAACGCCGUAGCGCCGAUGGUAGUGUGGGGUCUCCCCAUGCGAGAGUA
rnacentral:rRNA from 1 species